GAUGAACGCUAGCUACAGGCUUAACACAUGCAAGUCGAGGGGCAGCAUGGUCUUAGCUUGCUAAGGCCGAUGGCGACCGGCGCACGGGUGAGUAACACGUAUCCACCCUGCCGUCUACUCUUGGACAGCCUUCUGAAAGGAAGAUUAAUACAAGAUGGCAUCAUGAGUCCGCAUGUUCACAUGAUUAAAGGUAUUCCGGUAGACGAUGGGGAUGCGUUCCAUUAGAUAGUAGGCGGGGUAACGGCCCACCUAGUCUUCGAUGGAUAGGGGUUCUGAGAGGAAGGUCCCCCACAUUGGAACUGAGACACGGUCCAAACUCCUACGGGAGGCAGCAGUGAGGAAUAUUGGUCAAUGGGCGAGAGCCUGAACCAGCCAAGUAGCGUGAAGGAUGACUGCCCUAUGGGUUGUAAACUUCUUUUAUAAAGGAAUAAAGUCGGGUAUGGAUACCCGUUUGCAUGUACUUUAUGAAUAAGGAUCGGCUAACUCCGUG
rnacentral:rRNA from 1 species